UUCUAUCUAUAAUCUAUCAUAACUUACUCAUAGUAACUUGGAAUUACAUGACUUUUAUGUCAUUGGAAAGAUAGAAAAAAUAUCUAUCUAAAAAUAUAUUUUUUACUUUUUAAUUUUACUUUUUACUGGAUGAUAAAUCUAGUGAACGGACUGUGACUUCAUUUUGGAUGUUGUGAUUACUUGAUUUCAUCUCUUUUACUUGUAUUGUGGUUGUUCCUCCUUGGUCCUUUGCCAAUUGCUUACUUCACUUCACACCACCAAUUAAAAGCAAUUCUUAAUUGAGGCCAUCUUGUAAUUGGAGCUGAGGAGUGAAAUUUACACUCACAUAAAUGGUGUGUUUGCUGGGAGAUGGUGCUUCUAAUGGUGUGUGAGAAUGUGAAGUGAGCAUUUUGUGAAUGAUCUUGCUUGGACUUGUUGUGUGAGCAUUUCAACUUAGUCUUCAUUAUUUGUAAGUUUCUACCUCUCUCCUUGUUAGUGUAAACAAGGCCUUCAAAUUUUUUAAAAUAAAAAGAUAGUCAAAAGUUUUGUUGUUGAGUAGAAUGUUGAUUUGCUCUCGGAUUUUUGUCAAUCAGUUUUUGGGUGUUUGAUAGUUGAAGUUGAAACUUUGGCAGUGAAUGUAUCUUGCUGUUAGCUUUCUAAAAAGAUAUUAUAUGCUAAAUUUGGAGCUAUAACGAAUUUGUGGUGAAUUUUCGAACACAAGAGGGUUUACUGUCUUGGCAGUUUUGUAUAUCCUAUCUUUGACAAGGCAUUUCUUAGUGCCGGAUAAUUAUUUCAUAGUGAAAAUUUUUAAGUACAAGCACUUUAAAGUUGAGGUUGUAGUGGUGCAAAUUUCAAUGCUUUUGAAUCAAAAUUGAAUUUGUGGCGACUUUUGGAGUGGAGAGAGGUUGCUGCCUUGAGUAAAUACAAUUGAGCAUCAAGGGUGGAGCUCGUCUUCAAGGUAUACUUAGAAAGGAGCACGGCAAGACUUGUUGUCCCCAGUAUUUUCUAAAUCCCUUCUAUCUUCUUAUAGUGUAAGUGGACAAAAUCUAUUACACGACCCAAGAAUUUUUCCAUUCCACCUCUUUUCCUCAAUGGAACCUAGUGUGUUAUUGAUAAGUGCUAUUUCAAUUUGUAGUUGUUUUGUAGAAAGUGAAGUCGGGUUAAUGGCCAAUAUGACCUUCUUUUGUUAUUGAGCCUGUACUUGUGGGACAUGAUGACCUCCAUGAGAUAAAGUUAAAAGCAACAGGUUGCCCUUUUCCUAGUC